rnacentral:misc_RNA from 1 species
UAAGUAGGUGGCAAGCGUUGUUCGGCGUCAUUGGGCGUAAAGCGCGCGCAGGCGGCCUCUUAAGUCUGAUGUGAAAGCCCUGGGCUCAACCGGGGAGGGCCAUUGGAAACUGUGAGGCUUGAGUAUAGGAGAGAAGAGUGGAAUUCCACGUGUAGCGGUGAAAUGCGUAGAGAUGUGGAGGAACACCAGUGGCGAAGGCGACUCUUUGGCCUAUAACUGACGCUGAGGCGCGAAAGCGUGGGGAGCAAACAGG